UGGAUUCCAUUCCGUCUUCCUUGAGGGCCCCACCCUCAUCCCGGCACGUGAUGACGUAGGACGUAAGGACGCCCCCCCCCGCCGGUAGCCAUCUUCGUGCAUAGGCAAACUUAUUGUAGCUAGACUGUACAAAGUAUAUCAAGAUAUGCCAAAUAUUGAGCUUAACUUCACCUGUUUGAGAGACGGUGUUUCUUUUAGCUUGCAACACCAUGAAAAAAUUACUGAGACACUAGGAAUGCUGUGAACUGAGAAAGUUUGGGACCUUUGGCAUAACUAAAUCCUUCAUUUAACAGUGUUGUGAACCACUUGUCAUGGGAUAACCAAAAUUAAACCUGGAAUCGCAGAAGAAACAAAUUUUUUGAAGAAAUUGGAUGUACUUUUUUAAAAUUUUUCAUUCAACUAAAACUUUGUUAACUGUUUCUUGGUUGUGGUCUUCUCUAAAUUGUAAUCUUUGGCAUUCACUUCCAAAGUAUCCACCACUAAACUUCAUAACAUUUAUUGUGUCUCUUCAUCAUUAAACUUUGAUGAAUUUACAGAGUGUCUUUUGAAAUUAUGUUCUUGAGAAAGCCAGGGGAUUGGACGGUGUCAUGGAAAUGUCAAAGAAAAAGUGACACCUGAGAGAAAAUUUGAAAGAUGAAAGAUGCACUAAAGAGGCCAAUCAGUCAUCCAGACAAGAAUUUACCUCAUGAGAGUCAACUGUGCGCAUCUCUUCCCAACAUUGUGAUUGGUUAUGUCAUGUUGAUAGCUUGAAAUUGGACAUAGUAUGUACAUUUACACCCCAGAAAUCUCAGGUACUACAAACUAAACCUUCCCUUCUCUCAUUCCCCAGUGCUGUUAAUACGGAAACUGGUCUAAUAUGGAAAACAGGUGAACAUGGAGCUGCUUUGUUUGACUCAGGGAUGAGAGAUACCCAGGUCCUAAUUACUUGUCUUUAACUUUCCUUAGGGAGUACUAAUUUGGGAGUCAUUGUUCUAAACAAUUAAAGUGAAGUAACUGUC
rnacentral:lncRNA from 1 species